UCGGGUAGUUUCUGUUUUAGGCGAUAAAAUGACUGUUAUCGAUAAGUGAAAUAAACACAAUUAAUUAAGUUUCCUUUUUUGAUUUUAUUAAUUUGCCCUUAAGAACAAAGUACUCAUAAACGAUGCAUGAAUUCAAUAUUUUGCUUGACAGAGUCCUCUAAUUAAUCAAGUUUCCCUUUUAGGCGGUAAAAUGACUAUGCUUUCUAUGUCGGUUAUAUGAAACAUGAAAAGCGGUUCAAUUGCAAGGUAAACAAACAAAAUUAAUUAAGUUUUCUUUUUUAUCUCGUUUAAUUAGACCUUAAAAUAGGCUUUAAUUGAACAAUGAUUUAAUUUGUGUACUUUUACUUUCCACGUAUGGAUGCAGGAGACAUCUGGUCAGCUUUGUUACAAAGUGUCUCUGGCUUGUGAUUGGUUCAAGUAGAUUUAGGGCGUGACAUUGGGUUUUAUAACAGCACCUCUCAGAGCUGAGGUCUCAUUCACCCUGGUGAUUUGGCAGAAAGCAGAUCGAGCACAACAAGAGCUGUAAGACUGAUAUCUUACGUUACGUCUACCAUCAUGAGUGUGAUUAAACCAGAAAUGAAGAUCAAGCUGCGUAUGGAAGGCACUGUAAACGGGCAUUCGUUUGUUAUUGAAGGAUUGGGAGACGGCAAGCCUUUCGAGGGAAAACAGAGUAUGGACCUUAAAGUCAAAGAAGGCGGACCUCUCCCUUUUGCCUACGAUAUCUUGACAACAGCAUUCCAUUACGGCAACAGGGUAUUUGCUGAAUACCCAGACCAUAUAACAGACUAUUUCAA